GGUGGAACUUGAAGGUAACCACAGUGUCUGUUCCUGCUGUGACUCUGUGCAUAAAUGAAGAUGUGACUUUGCCCAUCGGUAUGUAUACGACCCCCAGAAAGCAAGGGGAAGGGUGUAAAAAUUGCAGAUCCAGUAACUUCUGCUUGAGUGACUCUUGUAGCAGUGGUAAGACCUUGGCUUGUACGCUAAAAUGUAUUUAUUUUUAAAUGUAUCCCCUCAGUUACUAAGAGCACCAUAAGCAGCGAUGCCCUGCUGGUCCUUGAAAAGCAGGGAGGUGACGACGGGGAGAGGAAGACUGGCGCGGCCAUUCUUGAACUGGAGGAGGACUUGCUGUCUUCCGAAGGCGUGUCCAAAGAGGAUCGGGAGGCACUGUCUCCAGAGGACGAUGCCUUUGACGAGAAUGAGUAUAAAAGGCUUUUGGAUGUUGAGGCAGAAGGCAAUGACAAUUCUGAUGAUCCUAACCAGCAUUUGGAAGGUACCUAUGAUGCCUCCAAGGUGCCAGAGCACAGUGACACUGAGAACUAUGAGGGGGCUGGGGAGCCUGGUCACUUCGAAGAGGCGGAUGAGUGGAGGGCUCUGUCUGCAGAGGAAGCUGGUGGUAACUGAAGAUGCAGUUCUGUCUAGUUAUUGGAUUAUCAUGACUGCUAAAUAAAGGUGUUGACAUUUUUUUAUA